AGUGAACGCUGGCGGUAGGCCUAACACAUGCAAGUCGAACGGCAGCACAGUAAGAGCUUGCUCUUACGGGUGGCGAGUGGCGGACGGGUGAGGAAUACAUCGGAAUCUACUUUUUCGUGGGGGAUAACGUAGGGAAACUUACGCUAAUACCGCAUACGACAUACGGGUGAAAGCAGGGGAUCUUCGGACCUUGCGCGAUUGAAUGAGCCGAUGUCGGAUUAGCUAGUUGGCGGGGUAAAGGCCCACCAAGGCGACGAUCCGUAGCUGGUCUGAGAGGAUGAUCAGCCACACUGGAACUGAGACACGGACCAGACUCCUACGGGAGGCAGCAGUGGGGAAUAUUGGACAAUGGGCGCAAGCCUGAUCCAGCCAUACCGCGUGGGUGAAGAAGGCCUUCGGGUUGUAAAGCCCUUUUGUUGGGAAAGAAAAGCAGCAGGUUAAUACCCCGCUGUUCUGACGGUACCCAAAGAAUAAGCACCGGCUAACUUCGUG
rnacentral:rRNA from 1 species